UUGGCAACAUAACUCGCGUGUCGUCUGCGGCAAAAUCAAGGUGUCUCGCCUGAUGGGUUCCGAGUGUAAAAUUGUAAACGGGAGGGAAUUACUAACUUCAUUUUAACUCUGUAAACCAUUUAUAAGCUUACGAUUCUUGCUGGUAACCGAGAGAUGGCUUCUCUUCAGGACACACACUGAUUCGUUUCCAGUCGUUUCAGUGCUUCCAUAAAGACAAUUCGAUAUAGCUCAUUGUCUUUCGAUAAAUCAGUCUAGUCCUAAGUCACUACCUUCACGAUGAGACAGAAGUCAGCUGCUGAAACUGAACUUUCCUCUCAAAAGAAAUAUGCAUCAAACUCUUCUAUCAACGGUGGGAAAAUUCAGCGCUGAAGAAUUUUGGUAAAGAUUAUGGAUUGGGAAAGAUAGGAGGGAGGCAUGUUAGUUUGCAUUUUAAGUGUAUUUUGUUAAGUUUCAUAUCUUGGAAUAUGAAAUUGAGAGUUGACUUUUGCUCUGCUGAUUAUUAUGAUAGCAAAGUAAGUAUGUAUAUGUUUUCUAAGGAUAGAUGCAAUAUAAUGAAUUCUGACUCAUUCCUAGAAUAUCAAUUGAAAAGUGAAUUUUAAGAUCCAUGAUCACUUUCUCCAGCCAAUCUUAAAGGCCAUGAUUUAGGUGGCUGUGUUUCACCUAGGAAUGAUGGUUCAUUGUUUGUAGAUCCUGACAUGGAAAUCAAGGUAGAGUUGGAAACAUUCAAAAGUGAGUGAAGAUGAUAUUAAAUAUUUAUAUGAAGUUUGUAAGCAAGGUUAAAGAUUUUAUUCAUUUACUGUAUACAGUAUAAUAUAACUUGAAAAUUUUAUUCAUUACAUGUCUAUGUAUUGGUUGAUUUUAAGCCAUUAGUUGUGAUAAUACUGUGCUUUAGAAUAAUCAUUAAAAUAUUUUUAUAUACUAUUCCUGUUUCAUUUUUUCAGUUGCUUUUUUUUAAAUUUCCACCUCUAAGUUUAUUUACUAAAUACACUGCACUACUGAG